rnacentral:rRNA from 1 species
CACGGGGGGAGCAAGCGUUGUCCGGAGUCACUGGGCGUAAAGGGCGCGUAGGUGGCCCGUUAAGUGGCUGGUGAAAUCCCGCGGCUCAACUGCGGGGCUGCCGGUCAUACUGGCGAGCUAGAGCACGGUAGGGGCAGAUGGAAUUCCCGGUGUAGCGGUGGAAUGCGUAGAGAUCGGGAAGAAUACCAGUGGCGAAGGCGUUCUGCUGGGCCGUUGCCGACACUGAGGCGCGACAGCGUGGGGAGCAAACAGG